rnacentral:rRNA from 1 species
UCAGACCGCGGUAUACGGGGGGGGCAAGCGUUGUUCGGAAUUACUGGGCGUAAAGGGCUCGUAGGUGGCCAACUAAGUCAGACGUGAAAUCCCUCGGCUUAACCGGGGAACUGCGUCUGAUACUGGUUGGCUUGAGUUUGGGAGAGGGAUGCGGAAUUCCAGGUGUAGCGGUGAAAUGCGUAGACAUCUGGAGGAACACCGGUGGCGAAGGCGGCAUCCUGGACCAACACUGACGCUGAGGAGCGAAAGCCAGGGGAGCAAACGGGAUUAGAUACCCCGGUAGUCCUGGCCCUAAACGAUGAAUGCUUGGUGUGGCGGGUAUCGAUCCCUGCCGUGCCGAAGCUAACGCAUUAAGCAUUCCGCCUGGGGAGUACGGUCGCAAGGCUG